rnacentral:tmRNA from 1 species
GGGGAUGAUCGGUUUCGACGAUGUAGGUUGAGAUGGGUGAAGCGUGCCGAGGACUGCAGGGUUAUCUCGUUAACGCCCUCUGCAACUAAAUAUAAAUGCAGAAUCUAAGCGUUCUGAUUUCGCUCUCGCUGCCUAAGCGCGAGAAGCAAUCUGUCAGCCUGAGUUUGCCUUUGGUUCAGUAGCUGGCAUCGACUUAAAAGGCCACUGCUGUGAGCGUUUGCCGUAGGCGCUCACGGGACACUUAUACGGAUAGGUUCGUCGUUGCACGUGUUUGUGCCAGCAACGGAGCCGAAAAAUAGCGCAUUCACAAACUGCGCACGGAGAAGCCCCGUUGAGGCUACAUCGGACCGGGGUUCGAUUCCCCGCAUCUCCACGA